GUGGCAAGCGUUGUCCGGAUUUAUUGGGCGUAAAGCGAGUGCAGGCGGUUCUAUAAGUCUGAUGUGAAAGCCCUCGGCCCAACCCGGGAACUGCUUUAGAAACUGUUGAACUUGAGUGCAGAAGAGGAGAGUGGAACUCCAUGUGUAGCGGUGGAAUGCGUAGAUAUAUGGAAGAACACCAGUGGCGAAGGCGGCUCUCUGGUCUGCAACUGACGCUGAGGCUCGAAAGCAUGGGUAGCGAAC
rnacentral:rRNA from 1 species